GGAUGUGAAGGUUAUCUGAUGAGACAUCUGCCACCCCAUUGAUCACCAGGGUUUAUUCAAGCUGGCCAGCCCGGAUCUCUUCCAGCUGAUCUGGCUGGCUAGGCGGGUGUCCCCUUCCUCCCUCACUGCUCCAUGUGCGUCCCUCCUGAGGACAGGUAGCCAAGGGUAUAUGAGUAGCUGCGCUCCCCUGCUAGAACCUCCUCCAACAGGCUCUCAAGAAAUUAGCUGGGCAAGCAAGGGAGAGGGAGCCAAGGAAGCCUCUCUGCACUGUGUCUGCUUCAAAUGCCUGCCUUGACUU
ensembl:misc_RNA 7SK 7SK RNA